rnacentral:rRNA from 1 species
GAUGAACGCUGACAGAAUGCUUAACACAUGCAAGUCAACUUGAAUUUGGGUUUUUAACUUAGAUUUGGGUGGCGGACGGGUGAGUAACGCGUAAAGAACUUGCCUCACAGCUAGGGACAACAUUUAGAAAUGAAUGCUAAUACCUGAUAUUAUGGUUAUAGGGCAUCCUAUAAUUAUGAAAGCUAUAAGCACUGUGAGAGAGCUUUGCGUCCCAUUAGCUAGUUGGAGAGGUAACAGCUCACCAAGGCGAUGAUGGGUAGCCGGCCUGAGAGGGUGAACGGCCACAAGGGGACUGAGACACGGCCCUUACUCCUACGGGAGGCAGCAGUGGGGAAUAUUGGACAAUGGACCGAGAGUCUGAUCCAGCAAUUCUGUGUGCACGAUGAAGUUUUUCGGAAUGUAAAGUGCUUUCAGUUGGGAAGAAAAAAAUGACGGUACCAACAGAAGAAGUGACGGCUAAAUACGUGCCAGCAGCCGCGGUAAUACGUAUGUCACGAGCGUUAUCCGGAUUUAUUGGGCGUAAAGCGCGUCUAGGUGGUUAUGUAAGUCUGAUGUGAAAAUGCAGGGCUCAACUCUGUAUUGCGUUGGAAACUGUAUAACUAGAGUACUGGAGAGGUAAGCGGAACUACAAGUGUAGAGGUGAAAUUCGUAGAUAUUUGUAGGAAUGCCGAUGGGGAAGCCAGCUUACUGGACAGAUACUGACGCUAAGGCGCGAAAGCGUGGUAGCAAACAGG